CNCGACCCGCAAGGGAGGCAGCGGCCCAAGGUNUGACUCAUGAUUGGGGUG
rnacentral:rRNA from 1 species